UGCCACGCAAUUCUGAAUAAAGUUUAUUAAAUAAUAUGUACAGCAAAUGUAGUAAUUCAACACAUCUAUUUAUCAAAUCAAUCCACUGCAAUGAAGAAAAAUAAACGAACAGAAAAAUCUAUGUCUGCAUAGGACAUGCUCUCAGUGUGUAAUUUAAAUGGCAAUACUUUAAAUUAAUUGGUUAUAUAUGUCAGUUAUUUUUCUUUCAGAAUAUAAUCUUUUUUGUAGUAACCUAUUCUAGCAAUAGGACUUAAUAUGACUGCAGAUAAAUAGGACUGCAAAAACCAAAAAACCAAAAUAAUGAAAUUAAAAAGGAAAAAAAACUAUAACUGAGAUCAUAGUUACCUUCCCUCCCCAAUAGAAUAAUUAUCAUAAAUUUUAACACUUUACAAUGGCUAUUUUUGUGCUAAAAAUCUGUAGGUGAGUUAUUUGGAAUUCCUUCAUUUAAAUAAAAAUGCAAAAAACUUCAUGACUUCCUUACUUUACCCCCUUCCAUUCAAAUUUUUAAAAUUAUUUUUCUAUACAAGGUAGGUACAUGGGCUAUACAAAGUUAAAUAUACAUAUUUACAGUCCCACUUCUUAAGCACAUGAUGUUUUUUUUUCUUUUACUGAUCCCAGAGAGACUGCAAAAGAUAAGGAGUUUGGGGCUUGCCUUUACCCGGAAGCAUGGCUAAUAUAUCAAAAUGUGUUGCAAGGCAUGCCGCCAGUUAGUAGCACUUGCUAUUAAUAAACCUGUAUAAACAUUUCAGCAUAAAAAUAGGUACUUUAUAUUACUAAAUGUCUGAAGACAAAAGAGCAAUUGGAAACCUCUGUUCCUUGUUUCAUCAUACAUAGGAAGGCGACGUGAUGCAAAUUUUAACACAUGAUUUCAUUAAAGACGGGCAAAUUGGUGAGGCAUACCUGAAUUUCUGGAGAUAUACAAAUGCGUGAGGCUGGCAUCAUAUGCAAAUGUGGCUUUACGAAUUGGUUUUAUUUUCUAGCUGUAUUUAAAGAGGUGUUCAAAAUUACCUACUUAAUCAAGAAGCACCCCUCAAAAAACUAUUAGAUAAGAUAGUGUUAUUAAUCGUUUGCAUCUAAAGACCAGGAAAUACAUUAGCCAAUACAUUCCAAAAUCGGUGAAAUGCUGCUGUGCAAAUUGCACGUGCAUAUGCAUUUUUACUAUAUUCCCUCAGAGACAGUAAAAAAAAAAAACACAACAACAACAACAACAAAAAACCAGUGCUCUUAGAUGGUGGAGCAGACCUUCCAAAGCAAGACGUCUUACUCUUACUGGGUCUUAAGGAAAAUCAGGACGUCUCCUUCUACCCAGAAAGCUCACCCCCUCCAGUGCCAUAGCCUUUUCCCUUGGGAUUAAGGCCCUGCUCUGUCAUAGUUAAAAACAAAUGUCUGUGGGAAGAGGUAACUCAUUCCUAUUAUCAAUCACUUACACUUUAGUGUGAAUGAAUUAGUGGCAGUUUCUUUCCUGAGAACAGGAUUUGAAAGAACAAUAGGGAGAAAGUGAGGGUACUGCGGCUCUCUGGUGGAGGGUGGGAAGCUGGUGGGAUCCUAAGAUGGGUAUUUGUGACAGCAGCUGAGCCACAGGCAUUGAAAACAAAUUUUGCCUACCUGUAAAGACUUUAGACUUUGGGACAAUGGUCCUGGGGUAAUUCUGAGCUAUAUGCAGACAGCCAGGGCUUCCUGUAUACAACCCUACCACCUAUAAUUGUUACUCCUAUUUGUGAGCUUGGAUGUGUAUCUUUGGGGGGAGAUGACAGUUUGGAGACUCUGGAAAAUAUUCCAGGUAUUUCCAGCUAUGAACUACCCUCAGACAAAGGUUCUUCCAGCACCCUAGUUGUUUAAAAGUGAGCUAAUGGAGAUGGAAAUAUGACAAUGCUUUCUAGGAUUCCUCCAGGGAAAAUUCAUCUCUUCCUCCCUCACGCCCUUCUCAGCACUUAUCACGGUCUCUCUUGAUUAAGUUCAUUUUCCUGUGUCUGUCUCCCCAAUCACCUCGAGUUCCUGGUGGGCAGGGAAUGGGUCAUUUCUGCAUUUGUCUCACUCGGGGGUCUAAGAGAGGCCGAUAAACGUCCUUG
rnacentral:lncRNA from 1 species